AACGAACGCUGGCGGCAUGCCUAACACAUGCAAGUCGAACGAGACCUUUGGGUCUAGUGGCGCACGGGUGCGUAACGCGUGGGAACCUGCCCUUAGGUUCGGAAUAACUCCCCGAAAGGGGUGCUAAUACCGGAUAAUGUCUUCGAACCAAAGAUUUAUCGCCUUUGGAUGGGCCCGCGUUGGAUUAGCUAGUUGGUAGGGUAAAAGCCUACCAAGGCGACGAUCCAUAGCUGGUCUGAGAGGAUGAUCAGCCACACUGGGACUGAGACACGGCCCAGACUCCUACGGGAGGCAGCAGUGGGGAAUAUUGGACAAUGGGCGAAAGCCUGAUCCAGCAAUGCCGCGUGAGUGAUGAAGGCCUUAGGGUUGUAAAGCUCUUUUACCCGGGAUGAUAAUGACAGUACCGGGAGAAUAAGCUCCGGCUAACUCCGUG
rnacentral:rRNA from 1 species